rnacentral:rRNA from 1 species
GAUGAACGCUAGCUACAGGCUUAACACAUGCAAGUCGAGGGGUAACGAGAGGAAAGCUUGCUUUCCUUGUCGACGACCGGCGCACGGGUGAGUAACGCGUAUCCAACCUGCCCCCAACUAAGGAAUAACCUUGCGAAAGUAAGACUAAUACCUUAUAAUUUCCUCAGAUGUCAUCUGACGAGGAAUAAAGAUUUAUCGGUUGUGGAUGGGGAUGCGUCUGAUUAGCUUGUUGGCGGGGUAACGGCUCACCAAGGCAACGAUCAGUAGGGGUUCUGAGAGGAAGGUCCCCCACAUUGGAACUGAGAAACGGUCCACACACCUACGAGAGGCAGCAGUGAGGAAUAUUGGUCAAUGGGCGGAAGCCUGAACCAGCCAAGUAGCGUGCAGGAUGACGGCCCUAUGGGUUGUAAACUGCUUUUAUACAGGAAUAAAGUUAGCCACGUGUGGUUAUUUGUAGGUACUGUAUGAAUAAGGACCGGCUAAUUCCGUGCCAGCAGCCGCAGUAA